CCGCGGCGGCGGCCCCGGGACCGGGAGGGACCCUGGGGGCUAUCCGGGACCCUCUGGGGGCUCCAGGGACCCUCGGGGCUGGGGUCGAGGCGGGAGGCGGGCGCUGGAGCCCCUGGGUGGGGCUGGCGGUUCGUUCGCCUUAUUUAGUCCAGACCGCGCGGAGAAGCCUGGCGGGUGCUUGAGGCGGGUUUUGUUUUCCUAGGGUCAGGCGGAGGCUUCGGCGGGUGGCGAGGAUCCUCGCGAUGAGUUUUCUGCUGCCCAAACUGACCUGCAAGAGGGAAGUGGAUCAGGCGAUAAAGAGUGUGGCCGAGAAGGUGUUGGUUCUCCGGUUUGGAAGAGAUAACGAUGCUGUUUGCCUGCAGCUCGAUGAUAUACUUGCGAAGACAGCCCAUGACCUAAGUAAAAUGUCAGUCAUUUACCUGGUGGAUGUGGACAAGGUUCCAGUGUACACCCAGUACUUUGACAUCAGUUAUAUUCCAUCGACUGUGUUUUUCUUCAAUGGACAACACAUGAAAGUUGAUUAUGGGUCUCCAGAUCAUACCAAAUUUGUAGGAAGCUUCAAAACAAAGCAAGACUUUAUAGAUCUGAUUGAAGUAAUUUACCGUGGAGCAAUGCGUGGAAAGCUCAUUGUGAGAAGUCCUAUUGAUCCCAAUAACAUACCUAAAUAUGACCUUCUCUACCAAGGAAUUUAAUGGGAUGUCUUGAGCAGAUCAACGAACACCAAGCCACCAUAGCCAUGGGCAAUGAAGGCCACAUUCUUGGCUGCGCUCUUUGAAAUGAAGUGAUCCCACACAUAAAUGGAAGGCAUGACACAGGAGAUGAGAGGACGGUCUGUUUGCUAUACUACUGAUAUAUGGGCAAUUCCCACAAAAAAAAAUUGUAUUUAACAGGGAGGAAGCUACCCAUAUUCAUGUUGUGUUCCCCAUGCAAUGAAGUGGGAGAAAAAUGGAUAUGGUUUAAUGUCUGUGGAGAAAGGUGGAGCGCAGUGAAAACAUUGCAUAACAAUUAGGAAAAGAUAAAUUCCCUUUCCUCACAGAGUGGUGUGCUGUCCAGCACUUCUCUCAGUCCUUUUCUCUCCUCACCCCUAAACAGUUGGAGACUCUAGUUUCCUGACAUACUAUAAAUAGGAAAUUACUACUUUCUUACUUCAGGUACUAGCAACAACAUUGCUUUUUCAGUUCCACAACAAAACAGAGAUACCUGUUCCAAAUUAAACCCUGUGCACAUAAUAUUGAACCUCUACUUAAAUAUCUGCUUUACAAGGCAUUGUAAAAGGCUUCUGAAGAAGCAGAAACAAAACAAAAAAAUAUAGUUUUACAUCAGGCAGAAGUAUGACAUCUCUUCCUAAAAUUGCCCAGGCGCAAGCUGAAAAACUUUGAAACAAUUUUAGUAGGUUAUCACUUAGGAGCUCACUUUGAUAACAACUUAUAUACUUGUUAGUCUGGAGGACUGAUUUUAUUGUAGUAGUGCCAUUUAUAGUUAAAAAGCAGCAGUUACAGGUGGUUGUAGAAAUAGCUGUGUAAUGCUGUAAUUACUUCUUUUAGGAAAAUGUACAUACUGAACAUACUGAAUCAGCAUUGACUGUUGUUUGUGCUUCAUUAUAUAUAUGCAAUAUACAAGGGCAUUUAUUCUGGUAGCUUUUACAAUAGCUAUUUUGAUUUUAAAAAUAUUACUGUUGAGAGAAGGAAAAAAAAAAUCCCUCUUCCUCCCACUUUUCUGUUUGGAUUGUAAGAUUCUUCAGCUGUAAAUUCAGUUGGUGUUUG